rnacentral:rRNA from 1 species
CAAGUAGAACGCUGAAGAGAGGAGCUUGCUCUUCUUGGAUGAGUUGCGAACGGGUGAGUAACGCGUAGGUAACCUGCCUUGUAGCGGGGGAUAACUAUUGGAAACGAUAGCUAAUACCGCAUAACAAUGGAUGACACAUGUCAUUUAUUUGAAAGGGGCAAUUGCUCCACUACAAGAUGGACCUGCGUUGUAUUAGCUAGUAGGUGAGGUAACGGCUCACCUAGGCGACGAUACAUAGCCGACCUGAGAGGGUGAUCGGCCACACUGGGACUGAGACACGGCCCAGACUCCUACGGGAGGCAGCAGUAGGGAAUCUUCGGCAAUGGGGGCAACCCUGACCGAGCAACGCCGCGUGAGUGAAGAAGGUUUUCGGAUCGUAAAGCUCUGUUGUAAGUCAAGAACGAGUGUGAGAGUGGAAAGUUCACACUGUGACGGUAGCUUACCAGAAAGGGACGGCUAACUACGUGCCAGCAGCCGCGGUAAUACGUAGGUCCCGAGCGUUGUCCGGAUUUAUUGGGCGUAAAGCGAGCGCAGGCGGUUUGAUAAGUCUGAAGUUAAAGGCUGUGGCUCAACCAUAGUUCGCUUUGGAAACUGUCAAACUUGAGUGCAGAAGGGGAGAGUGGAAUUCCAUGUGUAGCGGUGAAAUGCGUAGAUAUAUGGAGGAACACCGGUGGCGAAAGCGGCUCUCUGGUCUGUAACUGACGCUGAGGCUCGAAAGCGUGGGGAGCGAACAGGAUUAGAUACCCUGGUAGUCCACGCCGUAAACGAUGAGUGCUAGGUGUUGGAUCCUUUCCGGGAUUCAGUGCCGCAGCUAACGCAUUAAGCACUCCGCCUGGGGAGUACGACCGCAAGGUUGAAACUCAAAGGAAUUGACGGGGGCCCGCACAAGCGGUGGAGCAUGUGGUUUAAUUCGAAGCAACGCGAAGAACCUUACCAGGUCUUGACAUCCCGAUGCUAUUUCUAGAGAUAGAAAGUUACUUCGGUACAUCGGUGACAGGUGGUGCAUGGUUGUCGUCAGCUCGUGUCGUGAGAUGUUGGGUUAAGUCCCGCAACGAGCGCAACCCCUAUUGUUAGUUGCCAUCAUUCAGUUGGGCACUCUAGCGAGACUGCCGGUAAUAAACCGGAGGAAGGUGGGGAUGACGUCAAAUCAUCAUGCCCCUUAUGACCUGGGCUACACACGUGCUACAAUGGUUGGUACAACGAGUUGCGAGUCGGUGACGGCAAGCUAAUCUCUUAAAGCCAAUCUCAGUUCGGAUUGUAGGCUGCAACUCGCCUACAUGAAGUCGGAAUCGCUAGUAAUCGCGGAUCAGCACGCCGCGGUGAAUACGUUCCCGGGCCUUGUACACACCGCCCGUCACACCACGAGAGUUUGUAACACCCGAAGUCGGUGAGGUAACCUUUGGAGCCAGCCGCCUAAGGU